GAUGAACGCUAGCGGCAGGCUUAAUACAUGCAAGUCGAGGGGCAGCGGGGGUAGCAAUACCUGCCGGCGACCGGCGCACGGGUGCGUAACGCGCAUGCAACCUACCUUUAACCGGAGGAUAGCCCCGAGAAAUCGGGAUUAAUACUCCAUAACAUUGCAAAAAGGCAUCUUUUCGCAAUUAAAGCUCAGGCGGUUUUAGAUGGGCAUGCGUGACAUUAGCUAGUUGGUGAGGUGACGGCUUACCAAGGCGACGAUGUCUAGGGGUUCUGAGAGGAUUAUCCCCCACACUGGUACUGAGACACGGACCAGACACCUACGGGUGGCAG
rnacentral:rRNA from 1 species